GUUGCUGUGAGAGUACAAGAUACAGAAGCUGUAGCUGUGGAACAGGGCACCCGGCGUUCCAGCACAUGAAGAGUGUGCUUACAAUAUACAGAUGAUGGUUUUCCUGUCUCAAAUCAAGAUGCCCAAAUAUGAGAAGAAGGACUUAUACUGUGACUAAUCUCGGGGUCUGAACUAUAGAUGAGGUAAAUGAAGUCGCAGGGGAAAACCUGCCGGUCUCCCCCCUCCUCCACACCUGCUUAUACACAGUUGUAGACACAACUGGUCGUUACCUCAGCACUCUGUAAGCGUACAGUGCAGACAAUUGUCAGGCUAACAAACAAUCUAUUGCCGUAGCAAGUUGGACAAGUGAUAAAAUAUUUACAUACAAAAUGCCCCAAACAUUUUGAGUGAAAUUAGAUUUCGGGUAUUAGCAGAUGAUUUAUUUAUCUCUCCGCUACCUCAGGCCCGCAGGCCUUGUAAAUAUGCAUAAGCAUUUUCUAAUAAUUCCGUGUGAUUUUCCUAUGAUUUCUGCAUGUCAUUUGCAUAAUUAGUUUCUUUAAUUCCAAUGUAUUUAAGGAGGCAGACUUACCUAAGAGGAAGUGUAAGGAGCUCGGUGUGAAGCCACUGACGAGGCUCUGCACGGGGGUUAAUGUCACUGCCUGUAAUAAUAAAUGCUUCCUGCUCCAGGGGCAAUUACUUGUUGUAAGGAGGAUGCGGAACUCCUGUAGAGGGGGCAAAACUCUGCACUCAGCACCUUUCUCUAUACCUGUCUGGGACAAUACAGUCAGGGCACUGGGUACAGCUCAGGGGGCCUCUAGUGACACAUAAACGGAAGAUAACAAAGCAACAGGCUACCAAUGGGCACGAUGAAACCACGUGAGAAUAAUCUGCCCCUUAUGUAUUUUAAAGAUAAAUAAUGAGUUGUUGGGGUUCAUUAUAUUCUGCGCUGUCUGCGCUGUUGUUGGGUGAAAUAUACAGUAACUAAUCAUAAACAUUAAUCAACACGUGUUCUAGAGUUGAUCCAAUCAUUCACUCUUCAAAAUCUUGCGAUCGGAUAUUCUUGGAUUGAUUUAUUGCUCCGCUAAUUGCAGCAGCGCUUUCCAAACAAAGGGGGUGAUUCUACAGUCACAAUCUCUGACAUGCGGGGGGACGCCCAGAAAGCCAAGCCCCCCCCCCCUCCUCCCCCGCAGAUGCUUCCACAUCUGGCGAGUAGCUUCUUGCGUAUGUGUGACGUCACUCAGUCGCCGUGGCCCGUCCCAGUAAUGGUAGGGACAUGCCUGCUUUGUCCGGACAGCGCCCCCAAACACCGCUGACACGCCUCCCCCCCCCAACGCUGCAGACAUGCCCACGACUGCCUCUGCCUUUCGUAUCUCACUAUGUGCGCGUGCACAGUGCAACCGCUGUGUGUGCGCACACCACAUAGGGCUUUAGCCUGCGAUCGCUGCUGUUGCAGUGACCAGGUCUGAAUUAAGCCCAAAGUGCCCACGGCAGGUUCCCCUGAUGUACAGAUGAGGAAGAUUGUAAGCCAUUCACCGCUGGCCACGCCGCUCGAGAGAAUGAUCUCAGCGACUUCACUCCAGCUCCAUUCCAUUCCCCAAAAUACACCCUACAAGAUGACCUGUGUUGCCACAAGACUAAGGGCCAGAUGUGCUAAGCCUUAAAAAGUGAUAAAGUGGAGAGUGAUUAAGUACCAGCCAAUCAGCUCCCAACUGUCAUGUCACAGGCCCUUUUUGAAAAAUGACAGCAGCUGGUUGGCUAGUAGUUUAUCACUCUCCACUUUUCAAGGCUUAAUACAUCUGGCCUCAAGGGGUCUAUUCAUGAACCAGUGAAAAGAGUGGAGAAACAGACCAGUGGAGAAGUUGGCCAUGGCAACCAAUCAGCAUCUCCCUUACA